rnacentral:rRNA from 1 species
UACGGGGGGGGCAAGCGUUGUUCGGAAUUACUGGGCGUAAAGGGCUCGUAGGCGGCCAACUAAGUCAGACGUGAAAUCCCUCGGCUUAACCGGGGAACUGCGUCUGAUACUGGAUGGCUAGAGGUUGGGAGAGGGAUGCGGAAUUCCAGGUGUAGCGGUGAAAUGCGUAGAUAUCUGGAGGAACACCGGUGGCGAAGGCGGCAUCCUGGACCAAUUCUGACGCUGAGGAGCGAAAGCCAGGGGAGCAAACGGGA